rnacentral:rRNA from 1 species
UACGUAGGUGGCAAGCGUUAUCCGGAUUUAUUGGGUUUAAAGGGUGCGCAGGCGGCGUGUCAAGUCAGCGGUAAAAUGUCGGGGCUCAACCCCGGCCGGCCGUUGAAACUGGCGUGCUCGAGUUGGAGAGAAGUAUGCGGAAUUCGUGGUGUAGCGGUGAAAUGCAUAGAUAUCACGAAGAACCCCGAUUGCGAAGGCAGCAUACCGGCUCCACACUGACGCUGAGGCACGAAAGCGUGGGUAUCGAACAGG